rnacentral:rRNA from 1 species
AUGCUUGCUGCUUGGAAUGAGCUUUUUAAUGUAGUUAAGGAUCUGGUUUUGAAUGAUAGUGAUGACACUAUUAUUUGGGACUUGGAGCUCAAGGGGGUUUACACAGCUAAAUCCUUUUAUAAUUUUGUGAAUUUUAGAGUGAUUCCAGAUAAUAUUAUGAUGAUUUGGAAAGCUAAUGUCCCUCAAAGAAUUCAGAUUUUCCUUUGGUUGCUAGUUAAGAACAAGCUACUAACCAGGGACAAUCUUCUGAAAAGACAAUAUGUAGCAGAUGCUACCUGUCUUUAUUGUAAUGAACUAGAAUAUCUUAAUCAUCUAUUUUUCGAUUGUGUGGUUUCGAGAGAACUUUGGAGAGAGUUUUUUUGGCUCCCUAGGGGACGACAUUGA